rnacentral:tRNA from 1 species
AACGCUGUAUUUUACUAUGUUUUUCUGGCAAUCGGUAUUAGGCAUUCACCUUGCCAAGGUGGGGGCCGCGGGUUCGAAUCCCGUCUCGCG